rnacentral:rRNA from 1 species
AGUUAAGCGUGCUUGGACGAGAGUAGUACUAGGAUGGGUGACCUCCUGGGAAGUCCUCGUUUUGCAUCCCUC